UCUUGACUAGUAUAUCGGUUCAGUACACCCGCCUGUCAUCGGAACGACAUCUUGGUAACGCGGGAGAGCAGGGUUCGACUCCCUGGUCGAGAG